rnacentral:tRNA from 1 species
GCCCGGAUGGCGGAAUAGGCAGACGCAACGGACUUAAAAUCCGUUGUCCGAAGAGGACGUGCGGGUUCGAUCCCCGCUCCGGGUACCA